GGGGUCACUUUGUAAAAACACAAAAGUCACUACUUCAUGUAAAUACAACUAGAACCCAAAAUUUAAAUAAAUUCAAAAACUUCAUUAAAGGAGCAAAACAAUUUGUCCUUUAGCGUUUUUAGGCCUUAACGUCAAAACGUAAACUUUCGGGUCAAAGUACAAAUACACAAAAGUAUCAAAACUUUAUGUAAUUGCAUAAAAGCCCCAAAAUUACCCUAUUUUAUUAGGGUGGCCGGUUUUUAGGGAUAAAAAGGAGUGGUGGGUGUUUUGAUUUAUUAGUUUUGUCAAAAACAAUCAAGUAGUGCUUUCACCUUUCAUAAAAAUAAUAUAUGUUUUGAUGAUUGAUGUUUCCAUCAUCAUUUAUACAAAUAUUUAACACUUUAAAU
rnacentral:lncRNA from 1 species